GACGAACGCUGGCGGCGUGCUUAACACAUGCAAGUCGAACGGAAAGGCCCUGCUUUUGUGGGGUGCUCGAGUGGCGAACGGGUGAGUAACACGUGAGUAACCUGCCCUUGACUUUGGGAUAACUUCAGGAAACUGGGGCUAAUACCGGAUAGGAGCUCCUGCUGCAUGGUGGGGGUUGGAAAGUUUCGGCGGUUGGGGAUGGACUCGCGGCUUAUCAGCUUGUUGGUGGGGUAGUGGCUUACCAAGGUUUUGACGGGUAGCCGGCCUGAGAGGGUGACCGGCGACAUGGGGACUGAGAGACGGCCCAGACUCCUACGGGAGGCAGAAGUGGGGAAUAUUGCACAAUGGGCGGAAGCCUGAUGCAGCAACGCCGCGUGCGGGAUGACGGCCUUCGGGUUGUAAACCGCUUUCGCCUGUGACGAAGCGUGAGUGACGGUAAUGGGUAAAGAAGCACCGGCUAACUACGUG
rnacentral:rRNA from 1 species